rnacentral:rRNA from 1 species
AAUAUUGUACAAUGGGGGCAACCCUGAUCCAGCCAUGCCGCGUGUGUGAAGAAGGUCUUCGGAUUGUAAAGCACUUUUAGUUGGGAGGAAGGGCUUUAUGCUACUACCCUUAAGUUUUGACGUUACCAACCGAACAAGCACCGCCCUACUCUGUGCCCGCGGCCUCGGUAAUACAGCGGGUGCAAGCGUUAAUCGGAAUUACUGGGCGUAAAGCGCGCGUAGGUGGUUCAGUAAGAUGGGUGGGAAAUCCCCGGGCUUAACCUGGGAACUGCUUUCAUAACUGCUGAGCUAGAGUACGGUAGAGGGUAGUGGAAUUUCCUGUGUAGCGGUGAAAUGCGUAGAUAUAGGAAGGAACACCAGUGGCGAAGGCGACUACCUGGACUGAUACUGACACUGAGGUGCGAAAGCGUGGGGAGCAAACA